CUUAAGAUUAAAGUACAGAGCGGAUAAUAAUAAGAUGAAUUAUUUAGCAAUUAUCAUUUUGAGUUUAUUCGUGGUAGCUUCGGCAAUCGGGAACAUCCCAUACGAUUCAUUGGACGGAGUGCAAGCUUCUUUUGAAGAAUUGGAUAACAAAAGUGCCUAUUACCGCUGUAGAUGGAACAGAGAGUGUCAAUCAAUCUGUGAUAUGGCAUUCAUACCCAACAGGGCACGCUGUGUUCGACGAAGAUGUGCCUGUUUCCAAUUAAAUUAAACAAUUCAAUCGAAAUUCAUUAAUAAAUUAUUGACCCAUUCUAUUAUGAUUUUAAUUGAAUCGAUACGAUUUUGAAAUAAUAGCAAACACAAAGUAAAUAUAAAAAAUAUAACCGCUGCAUCACUAAAUAACUAAAAUCAAAGACGUAAAGUAUUGACAAAAUACUUUGGCGUAUUACCCAUAGCUCGAGGUAACUGGCAUAUUCGUAAUUCAUGGCGGUUGGGAACCGUACUGUGAUAGGAGGCUCCUUUGCACAGGAUGCCGGCUAAAUUAUGGGUACGAUGGCUCUUUCUGUUGUGAAGCAGUAACUUGUAAGGAUUACUGUGUUUCGGUCUGAAGGGCGGUGACGACCGCAGUAGUAGUGCCGCUCAGAAUUUUUGGGUUUCUCAAUAGAGCAGCACUACAUUGUAAUGGGCAGGGCGUAUCAAUUACCAUUAGCUGAACGUCCUGCCCAUCUCGUCACAUAUUUUCAUAAACUUUUCGCUUGAUUUUAUUUUCUACUUUCAGUUUGGUUUUUUAUAAAAGCUUGUUUUUAGUUGUUUUCUUAUAGUAUUAUUUUACAGUAAAAUGUAGGUAUACUUUUAACUUAGGACAGAUUAAAAAUAAACAAAGUAUUUAUUUGUUAAAUAAUAAAAGUAAUUCAAUUCUUAAGACAAAGGAUGUAAGUCCGUUUUGCUCUACAUAUCGCUGGUCAGGGGACAUUGCAAAACUUCACACAUUUUUCAAUGCAAUCGUGGCGUCUGUGAAGAAAUCUCUAGAGUAACAAGAUCACUAUAAUUAUAUCGUGUAUCCAAUUUUUUAUGUUAUUAAUAUAUUAUAUGUUACUUUGUAAACAUAUUUUUUGAUGAAAAAAAAAGAAGCCCGCUGAGUUUGUUGCGCCCGUUCUUCUCAGGUCUGAGGCAUACUUUUUCGAAUGGGUGGUAGUUUUUGACUUUCAAUAAAUGAUAUUUUAGUUUAAAUGAAAAUAUUUGAAUUUGUCAACGUAUUUCCCGUUCCUCAAAAGAAAAAAUGGAACCCUUAUUUAGGAAUUUACGGCACUCAGGGGAAUCAAAAUUGAUUGGCUAUUUCCCGUUGAUAAGUAAUACCAUUUUAUACUACAAGUAUAAGGAAAAAAUCUGAAAACUGAAAUUAAAUCAUUAAUAAAAAUUGUACAGAAUCGUUGAUCGCCGAGUCAGAACUAUUAAAUAAAUCAAACCAUCAUAAGGAAUGUGUAAUAAAUAUUGCGAUACAGAAAUAAUGCUCGACAUGACAAAUAUUGCAUGCAUGCGACAGGCGUGAAGUAUUUUGAUACUUUUAUGAUAAAUAUUAUUUCUGGUAUAUUAUUAUAAUAAUCAUUUAUAGCUAGCUUUUACCCGCGACUUUGUACACGUUGAAUAGUUACUUUGGGCAUUUAUUUUUAACCGACUUCAAAAAAGGAGGAGGUUCUCAAUUCGUCGGUAUGUUCUUUUUUUAUGUUUGUUACCUCAAAACUUUCGACUGGGUGAACCGAUUUUGAUAAUUCUUAUUUUAUUUGAAAGCUGGUGCUUUCCAUGUGGUCCAAUUGUAAUUUGGUUGAGAAAACCAUUAAAGUCUUAAAUUUGCUAUACAUACGUAUAGCAAAGUGGAUGUUAAAUUUACGAAUAAAUCAAUAUCGCCGAUUUCGAUGAUUCUUUUUUAUUGGAAAGGAUAUACUUUAAAGAUAGUUUGGUGAGAGUUUGGUUAGGUUCUGAUUACGAAAUCCAUGACAAAGUAACGGAACUCUUCAAUUCUUAGGAGAAAAAUUAACGAUACUCGGCCGAAUCUUUUUUAUGCUAUGCGGAUAAUUAAGUCGUCUACCAACAUAUCGUUAUGGUCUAGUAUUUGUACUUCUAAUUCACUAAAAAUCAUAAAAUAAAAAAUUAUUAACAAAAAAACAACCAACUUCAAAAACACUAUUCCAAAACAAGAGAUAUAAUGGGCACUAAAAAGCAUAAAAAUAAUUGCGUAUUUUUAACAAACUUCAAAAAAGGAGGAGGUUCUCAAUUCAUCGAUAUUUUUUUUUACCUCAAAACUUUCGACUGGGUGAACCGAUUUUGAUAAUUCUUUUUUUAUUUGAAAGCUGGUGCUUCCCGAGUGGUCACAUUGUAAUUUGGUCCAGAUCUGACAGUGGAAUCCAUGAGAAAACCAUAAGACUCUUAAAUUUUUCUAUACAUACGUAUAGCAAAGUGUAUGAUAAAUUUACGAAUAAAUCAAUAUCGCGCCAACCGAUUUCGAUGAUUCUUUUUUUUAUUGGAAAGCAUAUACUUCAAAGAUAGUUUGGUGAGAGUUUGGUUAAGUUCUGAUUACGGAAUCCAUGACAAAGUAACGGAUAACUGUCUGUAAUCAAAUUGCAAAGUACAUUGUACUUACGUUCAUAGCUGCAUUGAAAAAUUAGGUAUAGUGACACAUAUUUAGACAAAUUGUUAGUUACUGUACUUCAAAUUCACUAAAAAUCAUAAAAUAGUAAUUUUUGGAGUCGGUGUCAUCCAAGAUAGGUUUGUUACUACAUAUAUAGUUAUAGGUGAGAUGUGCUUGAGUCGUGAGGAGGUGAGAGGCGAGAGCUGGUUGCGGCGGAAAGACACCGAUUCCAAAAAUAACAAUAAUCGUAACUAGAAUAAGAUCAAUUAAUUAGAUUGUAUAAAAAUACGCAAUUAUUUUUAUAAUUUUUAGUGCACAUUAUAUAUAUUGUUUGGAAGGCGGUUCCUUUUGUUAAUCUUUUUUUUUAUACAAUCUAAUUAAUUAAUCUAAUUCUAGUUACGAUUAUUGGUAUUUUUGGAGUCUAGAUACUAGACUUGUAAACGGACAUAGGUGAAAAUUUUUAAUGGAAGUUCGUCAUUUUCAAAGACGAAUGUUUGUCCCACGGGCAACUUUAAAUUUAUAUAUAUAUUUAGUAUCAAACCAUAAAAUCUUUAUUUUUUAGCAUGAGAUAAAAACAAAAAAACGUAGUUUAUAUAAAUUUAUUAACCACAGCAGUUUGUAUGUGUAUUAUAUGCAAAGUAAGUGUCUUAUAAAAUAAAAAUACUGCCCAAAGUAACCAUUCUACACGGACGAAGCCGCGGGUGAAAGCUAGUCAAUGAUAAAAUAAAAUUUGAUGCAUUAUAGAUUUAUAGUGAAUGCCUGUCAAAUAGAGAAAAUUUAAUUUAAUUUCUUUCAAUUUAAUCGUGUAUAUAUAAGGGGCUGAUUUUUCAUAUGGCGACACUUAAGAUUACAGUACGGAGCGGAUAAUAAUAAGAUGAAUUAUUUAUCAAUCAUCAUUUUGAGUUUAUUCGUGGUAGCUUCGGCAAUCGGGAACAUCCCAUACGAUUCAUUGGACGGAGUGCAAGCUUCUUUUGAAGAAUUGGAUAGUAGAAGCCAAAGUGACUAUCACCGCUGUAGAUGGGACAGCGAUUGCAUUUCCAUUUGUGAGAUGAUUUUCUUACCCACCAGGGCACGCUGUGUUCGACGAAAAUGUGCCUGUUUUCCAUUAAAUAUAUUAAAGUAAAUAAUUUGCUUUAAAUCGAUCAAUGUGUUUUGAUGAAGCUAUAAAUAAACUAUUGAGCAUUU